rfam:Rattus norvegicus chromosome 3, whole genome shotgun sequence.
GGGGAUUUAGCUCAGUGGUAGAGUGGUUGCCUAGCAAGCACAAGGCCCUGGGUUCGGUCCCCAGCUCCG